CAAGAGACACAUGUAACAGCACCCUCAGCAUCAAAUAGUAAAACCGCCAUUUAGUUAAUCCUCCCCUCUCACCAUAAUGCCAGCUGCAUUCGUACCAACUCCAAUCAUAUGAACCACAAGCAGGGGAAUACUCCAAUCUCCCGAACGGGACCCGUAUGGGUACUUCACUUCCCAAUCAGCGAAUCGCCGCUAACAGCCGAAACCAUAUAUCUCCCAAGUGGCUAAU